CAGGAGAAAAUAACUUAUAUUUACAACAAGAGUCAAAUAUCAACCAUGCUGAAUGCCAGACUGAAAGACAGGUUCAACAUGUAGAGUGCCAAACAGACCUAACAGUCAACUAUUUAAAGUCAAUGGAA